ACUCCUACGGGAGGCAGCAGUGGGGAAUAUUGGACAAUGGGGGGAACCCUGAUCCAGCCAUGCCGCGUGUGUGAAGAAGGCCUUUUGGUUGUAAAGCACUUUAAGCGAGGAGGAGGCUCCUAUAGAUAAUACCUAUAGUGAGUGGACGUUACUCGCAGAAUAAGCACCGGCUAACUCUGUGCCAGCAGCCGCGGUAAUACAGAGGGUGCGAGCGUUAAUCGGAUUUACUGGGCGUAAAGCGUACGUAGGCGGCUUUUUAAGUCGGAUGUGAAAUCCCUGAGCUUAACUUAGGAAUUGCAUUCGAUACUGGGAAGCUAGAGUAUGGGAGAGGAUGGUAGAAUUCCAGGUGUAGCGGUGAAAUGCGUAGAGAUCUGGAGGAAUACCGAUGGCGAAGGCAGCCAUCUGGCCUAAUACUGACGCUGAGGUACGAAAGCAUGGGGAGCAAACAGGAUUAGAUACCCUGGUAGUC
rnacentral:rRNA from 1 species